AGGGGAAUAGGUGGAAUAUUAAUUUGAUUCGUGGAUUAUUUAUUCUUCAAGAAGCAAAAAGGAUUAUUUCCUUUCCUUUGCUAGCCAUAUGUUCUUUAUUGGUUAUCUUUGCAAUCUGAUUAGUUUGUUGUAAAGUCAAGGUAUAAGUGGGUAGUGUAACAUUUUGUUGACCUUAAACCGCAGCUUAUGGGUUUUGAUUGGAAGAGUAUUUGGCAGCUACAAGUUCCGCCAAAAGUGAAGCUAGGUAUAAGUUCAUAACAUGAAGAUACAAUACCAAAAGCUUCUGAGCCCAAUACAACAAAAACAUAAGAAAGUCCCAAGCCAGCUCAAAAACCCAUAAAUUUAACCUAUGAACUCGACCCGAUAAAUAAGAGCCUUGCAAAAGUUGAAUUUCCUUCUUCUAAGCAUCAAUCACCUAUAACCACUAAACACAAUGGAGGAAAUCUCUUGCUGUUGAAGCAGAAAAAAAGGCAAAAACAUACAUAUUGAAGCUUAAGGAGAAUCGAA
rnacentral:lncRNA from 1 species